GCGCGACUAGCUCAGUUGGUUAGAGCGCAAGCAUGACACGCUUGAGGUCACAGGUUCGAUUCCUGUGCCGCGCA
rnacentral:tRNA from 1 species